GAUGAACGCUGGCGGCGUGCCUAAUACAUGCAAGUCGAGCGAACUUUUGGGAGCUUGCUCCCAAAGGUUAGCGGCGGACGGGUGAGUAUCACGCGGGUAACCUGCCUGUAAGACUGGGAUAACUUCGGGAAACCGGAGCUAAUACCCGAUAACAUUGAAUGCCACAUAGCCUUCAAUUAAAAAGUGCCUUUUAGCUACCACUUACAGAUGGACCCGCGGCGCAUUAGCUAGUUGGUGAGGUAACGGCUCACCAAGGCGACGAUGCGUAGCCGACCUGAGAGGGUGGACGGGCACCCUGGGACUGAGACACGGCCCAGGAUCCUUCGGGAGGGAGCAGUAGGGAAUCUUCCGGCAUGGACGAAAGGCUGACCGGGCAAAGCCGGGUGGGCGGAGGAGGCCCUCGGGUCGGAAAGCUCUGUUGUUAGGGGAGAACAAGUAUCGUUCGAAUAGGGCGAUACCUUGACGGUACCUAACCAGAAAGCCACGGCUAACUACGUG
rnacentral:rRNA from 1 species